rnacentral:rRNA from 1 species
CUAAGAAUAUUCCGCAAUGGACGAAAGUCUGACGGAGCGACGCCGCGUGGAUGACGAAGGCCGAAAGGUUGUAAGAUCCUUUUGUCGAGGAAGAAUAAGCCGGGGAGGGAAUGCCCUGGUGAUGACAUGAAUCGAUGAAUAAGCCCCGGCUAACUACGUGCCAGCAGCCGCGGUAACACGUAGGGGGCGAGCGUUGUUCGGAAUUACUGGGCGUAAAGGGCAUGUAGGCGGUUCGAUAAGCCUGGCGUGAAAUGCUGCAGCUUAACUGCAGCACUGCGUUGGGAACUGUCGGACUAGAGUUACGGAGAGGAAGCUGGAAUUCCAGGUGUAGGGGUGAAAUCUGUAGAUAUCUGGAAGAACACCAAAGGCGAAGGCAAGCUUCUGGCCGAUAACUGACGCUGAGGUGCGAAAGUGUGGGGAUCAAACAG